rnacentral:rRNA from 1 species
ACGCUGGCGGCGUGCCUAACACAUGCAAGUCGAGCGAACCCCUUCGGGGGAGAGCGGCGGACGGGUGAGUAACGCGUGGGUAACCUACCCUGUACACACGGAUAACAUACCGAAAGGUUUACUAAUACGUGAUGACAUAUCAGACAGGCAUCUGUUUGAUAUCAAAGGUCAGCUGGUACAGGAUGGACCCGCGUCUGAUUAGCUAGUUGGUGAGAUAAAAGCUCACCAAGGCGACGAUCAGUAGCCGACCUGAGAGGGUGAUCGGCCACAUUGGAACUGAGACACGGUCCAAACUCCUACGGGAGGCAGCAGUGGGGAAUAUUGCACAAUGGGCGAAAGCCUGAUGCAGCAACGCCGCGUGAGUGAUGAAGGUUUUCGGAUCGUAAAACUCUGUCCUCAAGGAAGAUAAUGACGGUACUUGAGGAGGAAGCCCCGGCUAACUACGUGCCAGCAGCCGCGGUAAUACGUAGGGGGCUAGCGUUAUCCGGAUUUACUGGGCGUAAAGGGUGCGUAGGCGGUCUUUCAAGUCAGAAGUUAAAUUCUACGGCUCAACCGUAGCCAGCUUUUGAAACUGGAAGACUCGAGUGCAGGAGAGGAGAGUUCAAUUCCUAGUGUUAGCGGUGAAAUGCCGUAGAUAUU